UUCACGACUCUGGAGUAGGCAACAACGAGAAUUCAAACCCCAAUAUCAUAUCUGCUCCUUCCAUUGACAGUGGCACCGCACACUCCUCUGUCACGUGUGGUACUGCGGCCAAGCAUGUUAGGAAAUCAGGAUCAGGAAUUUCUUCAUUGGGCGCUGUUAAUUUGCCUGCCAGAGUGGUUCCUGACACACCAAUGUCGUCUACAGGUAGUCCGCUUUAAAAAAUUAAAAGCUUUCCUGUGUAAAUGUGUCUUUUUGUGACAAAUACACUAUCUGUUAUACCCUUAAAUAAAAAGGAUUAGAAUUAUAUUUGCUUUAUUGUAGACCUCUCUCCAUAACUUACCAACACUAGGCAAUAAAUUUAUUUUCAGAACCACUAUAUAUUCCUUCCAAUCACCUAUACUUCACCUAUAUUUCAUCAAUUGGAUUAGUGUAGUAAAAUUAACAAAAUGAUCAUGAUCGCACGGUAUGAGUUCCUGUGGUUAAUGGAUAUUCCUUUUAAUUGUGUUAUCAUGGUCAGGGUGCGGACAUUGGAUAUUCCUUUUACUUCUUUUAUCACGGUAAGGGCCUCGCUAAACUUGCAGACUAUUAACAACAAUUAACUUUUGUGUCUAGGCCAGUAGGAAAGGGAGAUCAACCUUCAUAGACAGGGGACCAGAAGCCAUACAUUAAGUCACAUCCUCUUCAAUCUAAUGGCUCUGAUAAGAAGUUGCAAUGUGGCUGGAAGCACUCCAUGGAGAAAACUAACAAAGUUCUGGCACUUGCUCUAUAGUGGAAGAGCAUGAUGCAAGUGUGGACAUCUGGAGUCUUGGUGUACUGCGCUAUGAGCUCCUUUAUGGUGGCCCUCCGUUUGAGCAAAAGAACAAUCAGAUAUCAUCGUGACAGUUGUGUAGUUUGUGAAAGUAGUGAGAGAUGCUAUGACUUUGAUGGUGGAAGCUUGAAGAUAGAUUCCAGAUGCACUUAUUAGGUUUCAACACUUUCGGAGUCUCAAUCUUCUUCGAAAGGCAGGGUUUGUAUGCUGAAUCUGAAGUAGAAAGUUUUAAAUAAUCACCCAAAGUUGAAGCUCUGCUACAAGUACAUGAAGGAAGGUGUCUUCAUUCUGUAUGAGCCGUAUCUGGAUAAGUUUGCUUUAAAGCGUAUAGAAGCAAUAUGCCACUGAUGUAUGAUGAUGCUUGAUGUGUGAUGAUGCUUAAUGCAUAGAAGCAGUAUCAAAGUAUCA